GAUUUUUAUGGCUGCUUGGCAUUUCACAUUGCGCUUCUAAGACAAACUUCCUUUGAGGUAAAACGCACAAACAUUUCGAGACGAUGUCGACACAUCGUGGUCGUCGCCUACAAGAAAGUCGUCGUAUUCUGCAAGAACGUCGUCAAUAAUCUAAAAUUAUAAAAUUGUCCUCAAUUUGAUGUUACACUUGUGGGUUCCACAGAUUAUUAAAAAAUCGUGGAUACAGUAUCCUUCUUAAGGCGAAGCCGUCCUGCUGUCCAUCCUACUGAUUGCAUCGCUUCAAAAUUUUGCACGAAACA